rnacentral:rRNA from 1 species
AUUGAACGCUGGCGGCAGGCCUAACACAUGCAAGUCGAGCGGAUGAAGGGAGCUUGCUCCUGGAUUCAGCGGCGGACGGGUGAGUAAUGCCUAGGAAUCUGCCUGGUAGUGGGGGAUAACGUCCGGAAACGGGCGCUAAUACCGCAUACGGCCUGGGGGAGAGAGGGGGGGGUCUUCGGACCUCACGCUAUCAGAUGAGCCUAGGUCGGAUUAGCUAGUUGGUGGGGUAAAGGCCUACCAAGGCGACGAUCCGUAACUGGUCUGAGAGGAUGAUCAGUCACACUGGAACUGAGACACGGUCCAGACUCCUACGGGAGGCAGCAGUGGGGAAUAUUGGACAAUGGGCGAAAGCCUGAUCCAGCCAUGCCGCGUGUGUGAAGAAGGUCUUCGGAUUGUAAAGCACUUUAAGUUGGGAGGAAGGGCAGUAAGUUAAUACCUUGCUGUUUUGACGUUACCAACAGAAUAAGCACCGGCUAACUUCGUG